rnacentral:rRNA from 1 species
UACGUAGGUGGCAAGCGUUGUCCGGAAUUAUUGGGCGUAAAGAGUGCGUAGGCGGUCUAUUAAGUCUCAUUUGAAAGCCCAUGGCUUAACCAUGGAGGGUGAUGGGAAACUGAUAGACUUGAGUAAAGGAGAGGAAGGUGGAAUUCCACGUGUAGCGGUGAAAUGCGUAGAUAUGUGGAGGAACACCAGUGGCGAAGGCGGCCUUCUGGCCUUUGUCUGACGCUGAGGCACGAAAGCGUGGGUAGCAAAC